rnacentral:rRNA from 1 species
UACGGGGGGAGCAAGCGUUGUUCGGAUUUACUGGGCGUAAAGGGCGCGUAGGCGGCCACCGCAAGUCGACUGUGAAAUCUCCGGGCUUAACCCGGAAAGGUCAGCCGAUACUGCGGGGCUAGAGUGCAGAAGGGGCAACUGGAAUUCUCGGUGUAGCGGUGAAAUGCGUAGAUAUCUGGAGGAACACCGGUGGCGAAGGCGGCAUCCUGGACCAACACUGACACUGAGGAGCGAAAGCCAGGGGAGCAAACGGG